AGAGUUUGAUCAUGGCUCAGGAUGAAUGCUGGCGGUGUGCCUUAAGCAUGCAAGUCAAGGGGGUGUAGUAAUACAUAACCGGCGGACGGGUGAGUAAUGCGUGGGAAUCUACCUUGAAGUUGGACAUAGCCCUCCGAAAGGAGGGGUAAUUUCCAAUGUGGUCGUGAGACUAAAGCAGCAAUGCGCUUUAAGAUGAGCCUGCGUCCUAUCAGCUAGUUGGCGGGGUAAUAGCCCACCAAGGCGACGACGGGUAGCUGGACUGAGAGGUCGGUCAGCCACAAUGGCACUGCGACACGGGCCAUACACCUACGGGUGGCAGCAACUGGGAAUAUUCGGCAAUGGGCGAAAGCCUGACCGAGCGACGCCGCGUGGAGGAUGAAGGUUUUCGAAUUGUAAACUCCUUUUGCUAAGGAAGAUUAUGACGGUACUUAGCGAAUAAGCCGCUGCUAACUACGUGCCAGAAGCCUCGGUAAUACGUAGGCGGCAAGCAUUAUCCGGAUUCAUUGGGCGUAAAGUGUUGCGUAGGUGGAAUGACGCAUUCUGUUCGAAAGCCCGUGGCCUAACCACGGAUUUGGACAGAAGAUGGUUAUUCUUGAUUGUUUGGGAGGAUGUUGGAACCAAUCGUGAAGCAGUGAAAUGCGUUGAUAUGAUUGGGAACGUCAAAGGCGUAGGCAGACAUCUAACAAACUAAUGACGCUUAGGCACGAAAGCUAGGGGAGCGAAACAGAUUAGAGACCUGUGUAGUCCUAGCCGUAAACGAUGGAUGCUAGAUAGCCGAUUUAUUGGCUGUCGUAGCUAACGCGUUAAGCAUCCCGCCUGGGGAGUACGAACGCAAGUUUAAAACUCAAAUGAAUUGACGG
rnacentral:rRNA from 1 species